AUGGUCCUCGUUCGCUACGGCGUCUCUUACCUCAUCGAACAUCCCCCGCCACCCAAUGCCGAUGCCGCCUAUCUUGAACUUGAUGCCCAUGUUGCCCUUUGGAUCUACGCCACUCUCUCUGAUGCCAUGGUGGACCAUGUCGUCGGCGCCACCACCACGUUCGCCCUCUGGAAGAAGAUCCAUGACUACUUCCUCUCGAACCGCGCCGCCCGGUUCAUGAUCCUCAACAGGCAAUAUCGCAACCUUAAGCGGGGCGAUCUCUCUGUCCAGGAGUACGCCCGCCGCAUGAAACACCUGACAGAUGGUCUCGCCGACAUCGAGCACGCCAUCACCGAGGUUGAUCUCACAACCCAAUUCCUCCACGGUCUUGACAAACGCCUCGACACCAUCCGUGUGGUCCUCGGUGAUCAGGGGCUGCCAUUCGACGUCGUGCUCUCCCGCAUCACCUGGCCGAGGAGUCCAUGGCGCAACACUCCGCUGAGGAAAGCACCUCGGUGUUCGCCCUCCAGAACGGGGGCUCUUCUACUGGCAGCAGCUCGGGCACUGGUGGUUCUCGCGGGGACCGCUCCGGCGACCGUGGCCAUGAGCGUACCACGGGCCCGUCGCCGCACCCCCUGCCCGUGGCCGCGGCGACCGCUCGGGUGA
rnacentral:rRNA from 1 species